GAUGAACGCUGGCGGCGUGCCUAAUACAUGCAAGUCGAACGAAACUUCUUUAUCACCGAGUGCUUGCACUCACCGAUAAAGAGUUGAGUGGCGAACGGGUGAGUAACACGUUGGCAACCUGCCCAAAAGAGGGGGAUAACACUUGGAAACAGGUGCUAAUACCGCAUAACCAUAGUUACCGCAUGGUAACUAUGUAAAAGGUGGCUAUACUACCGCUUUUGGAUGGGCCCGCGGCGCAUUAGCUAGUUGGUAGGGUAAAGGCUUACCAAGGCAAUGAUGCGUAGCCGAAUUGAGAGGUUGAUCGGCCACAUUGGGACUGAGACACGGCCCAAACUCCUACGGGAGGCAGCAGUAGGGAAUCUUCCACAAUGGGCGAAAGCCUGAUGGAGCAACGCCGCGUGGGUGAAGAAGGUCUUCGGAUCGUAAAACCCUGUUGUUAGAGAAGAAAGUGCGUGAGAGUAACUGUUCACGUUUCGACGGUAUCUAACCAGAAAGCCACGGCUAACUACGU
rnacentral:rRNA from 1 species